rnacentral:rRNA from 1 species
CCCUUCCGUAGGGGAACCUGCGGAAGGAUCAUUA